rnacentral:lncRNA from 1 species
CGUGCGGAGCCGUCGUUGUGCAUAGCACGGGCCGCGCUCGUUCCCUCGUGGUUUCUGACAGUAUUCAGGCGAUUGUGGUGCUUUUCGUGUGUGAUGCCGACGCUUCUUAGUAAGCAGCCCUCAAACCCGACUUAUUAUUCGGAUCUUACGUGACCUGAGCGCCUCCGCUAUGCUGAAAAAGUGCAAAUGUGUGACAACAUCGACCCCUUCACGCUGCGACAGGGAACGGAUACUUCAAGCGAUGUGGACAUAUUUGUGGACAUUUGUUACGGAAACAUCGCCAAUUCUCUCGUUAUUUUCUGCGAAUUAUUUGACCCUCGGGGAAAUGAAGGCGUUCAAGUCGACCGAGGCGCAUAAUUAUUUCACAAGCGGUUGGGUCAAGGGCCUGUCAGCUAAACAGUUGCAAGAUCACAAGGUGCUUCGCUUGGCGAGUAUCCUUCAGGAUC